rnacentral:rRNA from 1 species
UACGUAGGGUGCGAGCGUUAAUCGGAAUUACUGGGCGUAAAGCGUGCGCAGGCGGCUUGCCAAGUCAGAUGUGAAAGCCCCGGGCUUAACCCGGGAACGGCGUUUGAAACUGGCAGGCUAGAGUUUGGCAGAGGGGGGUGGAAUUCCACGUGUAGCAGUGAAAUGCGUAGAGAUGUGGAGGAACACCGAUGGCGAAGGCAGCCCCCUGGGUUAACACUGACGCUCAGGCACGAAAGCGUGGGGAGCAAACAGG